GACCCUGUUAACACUGCUGAGAGCGUGACAUGAAACUGCAGGUGUCUGUUACAGGGCCAAUGAGGCUUGACCAAUCAGGGUGGCCCCAAGAGACCUCACCCUUGCUAUGCAUGCUCCAGGUGGAAGGGACAGAGAAAAGGAGGCAGCUCAGCUCAGUCAGGGCUGGCUGAGGAAGGGCGUGUUGUGGAGGCACCAGUGGAUAUGGACUAUACUGAGGAUGACCAGGAAUUCUUCAGAUCCCACCUGCUGUGUCAUCCAGAAACACAUUCUUUGGAAAGUCCAAUGGAUUAAAGCAAAAUUAUCCCAAGAAAACCUUUUUUGCUUUUGUUGAGUCAUUGAAUAAAUCUGUCCAGUUUGGAUACAGAUUACUGAGUCAGCACUUGGCAAUCACUUUAGGAACUAGACAUUGGAGCAAUUUUUACACUAGUUCAAGAGUCCCAAAGUCAUUUAGGCGCCUACAUCCAUUUUGAAAACAGGAUUUAGGCACAUAGGAGCCUCAGUGAAAGUCAAUGGAAAUUAGGCACCUAAGUCACUUUGAAAGUGGCUAUUGGGUUCCUAAGUCUCACAGGAACACUUGAAAAUUUGCCCCUUAGAAUGAGAUUUUGGUGGCACUCUGGGAAGGAAGUGGAAAGAGCAAAAUUCAGUCAGCCAAAAUGACACAGUAGUGUCACCCAGGAAGACGACUUUCUCCUCAUUCGUUUGCAAAGGGCAUGGAGCUGUAACAAGCAUUGGUUAGGACAUGGAGCCUGGACAGUCACAAAUACAGUAAAUGCUAGACUAGAUAUUUGGGGUUUCUGUUUUAAAAAUAGACUUCAACAGUGCUCUGACUCUUGAACUGUAGGUACGUGUCCGGGCAGGGGAAUGUGAUCUUGGCAACCGGCCCCUGGAGGCUAAAGGACUAGGAUACUGGGGCUGAAGGGCUGCAUGUUCCAUGAGAGAAUGAUCCAGCUUCACUCUCCCCAAGUCUACAGCACAAAGGCCCCAGUUUCCUCGAGUGGCACUGACUGCUGUAGGUGAUUGAUCUUUGUUGUUUUUAUAUGGUGCUUUACAAACACAGAGCCAUGUUCCAUCCACUGACUAUUGUACGCUCUGUGUAAACCAAGACUAAUACUGGAAACAAAGGAAACCAGCUCAGGAAAAGGAAGUGCUGUGGGUUUUGUGACAGUUUGUUCAGUUUGCCGUAGAACAGGGAUGUUGUGCAGGGACUCCCCACCUUAUCCAGUGUGCCAGCUACCCUGUGACCGGUCCCAUAUUCUGUGCAGCAAGAGCAGUCUUGUAUUUUCACAUGCAGGCCAAACUGUAGAACGCUUAAACCCUGUUCACAGAAGACCAGAAGGAUGGCUGAUUUUUAAUGAGAGACUGCAGAUUGCUGCUUGUUCCUGUGAUGCGGACAGACCAGGUGCCAGCUCAUACCAAGGUCCAGGGCCUCACCGAAAACUGACAAGUGCAUAGCUGGAAACGAGUCUGGCUUAACAACACUAACCCACAGAUGUGAGGUGCUGAGGCUAUGCUGAAGAGGGAAAAGAAAUUAAGACAAAAGAUUUUGAAUAAACCAGCACAAUCUGCAACUCAACUUUUUCAGGAAAUGGCUGUCUUUGGGAUGCUGCAUGUUAAUGAUGAGAUUGGAAGAACAUUUGGAGACAGCAUGACUCCAACAAUCCAUGAGAACAAAGCAAAGUUCAAAAAUAGUAGUAUUGACUGGUGGAAAAACAACAUACAUAUAAUUUUCAGGAACCUUUCUUUUAUGUGGAGCAGAGGUGUGCGAGAACUUUAAAGGAAGCAAUCAUUCAGAAGCCAAACAUGAAGAUAAUCGCUAGGGAAGGAGGAGGUGUAGUUGACAAGUAUACUGGCUAUUUUGGGAAGACCUGUCUUCAAAACCUGCUUUUGAUCCUUACUGACAAUGAAUUUGGGGGCCUUAUCCUGGUCUAUUUUGUUCAAGACAGGUGUAAAAUAAAACGAUUAUUUCAGGUCAGCCCUGAGGGACACUGUUUAAAGAUACCGGAACCCCAGGAGAGUUCUUGGAAGAGAUGGCUCAUAGGGCAAUGACUACCUAAGAGAAAAGAAAUGACUGAUUAUCCAUUACAGAGGAGUGGCAAGGGGUUGACUCAUGAAAAUUGAAUCCCAGCUUUUGGGACUGGACAAGUGCUGCAAGGAAUGACCUUUCGGUGAGAGAUACACUCCUGUCUAAUAAGGUAACUUAAGUAGAGGUAUAGAUUACAUGUUUUGUUUUACUAGUAACCUUAUGUUUCCAAAUAAUUUUACUUGGCUUUAUUUUGAAUCUUUAUCUCAAGCUGUUAAAUAAACUUCAGUUUGAUUUUA